rnacentral:rRNA from 1 species
ACGGGAGGCAGCAGUGGGGAAUAUUGGGCAAUGGGCGAAAGCCUGACCCAGCAACGCCGCGUGAAGGAAGAAGGUUUUCGGAUUGUAAACUUCUUUUAUCAGGGACGAAGAAAGUGACGGUACCUGAUGAAUAAGCCACGGCUAACUACGUGCCAGCAGCCGCGGUAAUACGUAGGUGGCAAGCGUUAUCCGGAUUUACUGGGUGUAAAGGGCGCGUAGGCGGGGAUGCAAGUCAGGUGUGAAAUCUAUGGGCUUAACCCAUAAACUGCAUUUGAAACUGUAUCUCUUGAGUGUCGGAGAGGUAGACGGAAUUCCUAGUGUAGCGGUGAAAUGCGUAGAUAUUAGGAGGAACACCAGUGGCGAAGGCGGUCUACUGGACGAUAACUGACGCUGAGGCGCGAAAGCGUGGGGAGCAAACAGGAUUAGAUACCCUGGUA